rnacentral:rRNA from 1 species
CAGCCGCCGCGGGAAUACGGAGGGGGCUAGCGUUGUUCGGAAUUACUGGGCGUAAAGCGCACGUAGGCGGCUUGGUAAGUUAGAGGUGAAAGCCCGGAGCUCAACUCCGGAAUUGCCUUUAAGACUGCCGAGCUAGUAGGUGAGGGAGGUAAGUGGAAUUCCGAGUGUAGAGGUGAAAUUCGUAGAUAUUCGGAAGAACACCAGUGGCGAAGGCGGCUUACUGGCUCAUUCUAGACGCUGAGGUGCGAAAGCGUGGGGAGCAAACAGGAUUAGAUACCCCAGUAGUCCCUGUCUCUUAUAC